rnacentral:rRNA from 1 species
GAUGAACGCUGGCGGCGUGCCUAAUACAUGCAAGUCGAGCGAACAGACGAGGAGCUUGCUCCUCUGACGUUAGCGGCGGACGGGUGAGUAACACGUGGAUAACCUACCUAUAAGACUGGGAUAACUUCGGGAAACCGGAGCUAAUACCGGAUAAUAUAUUGAACCGCAUGGUUCAAUAGUGAAAGACGGUUUUGCUGUCACUUAUAGAUGGAUCCGCGCCGCAUUAGCUAGUUGGUAAGGUAACGGCUUACCAAGGCAACGAUGCGUAGCCGACCUGAGAGGGUGAUCGGCCACACUGGAACUGAGCCACGGUCCAGACUCCUACGGGAGGCACCAGUAGGGAAUCUUCCGCAAUGGGCGAAAGCCUGACGGAGCAACGCCGCGUGAGUGAUGAAGGUCUUCGGAUCGUAAGACUCUGUUAUUAGGGAAGAACAAAUGUGUAAGUAACUAUGCACGUCUUGACGGUACCUAAUCAGAAAGCCACGGCUAACUACGUG